ACCAUUUUCUGGAAAAAGAUGAACAUCUGUAAGGACAGCCAGCUAGGCUGUUACAAGGCCUCCUCCUUCCAUCACCCCACAGGGAGUAAAUCUGGGCAGGGAAGGACCCAGCCAGAUGUGGAUGUCUGCAUGCUGCUGGGGCAACAUCCGUCAAAAACUUCCAAGUCUCACCCAGACAAGGGGGAUCACGAUGUUAAUAAUGAAAUCUAGGGAGUUCCCGUCAUGGCUCAGUGGUAACAACCCAACUAGGAACCAUGAGGAAGCAGGUUUGAUCCCUGGCCUCGCUCAGUGGGUUAAGAAUCUUACAUUUCUGUGAGCUGUGGUAUAGGUUGCAGAUGCAGCUCAGAUCCUGUGUUGCUGUGGCUGUGGUAUAGACCAGCAGCUGCAGCUCUGAUUUGACCCCUAGCCUGGGAACUUCCAUAUGCUGCAGGUGCAGUCCUAAAAAGAAAAAAAAAUAAUAAUAAGCUUAAUAAUGAAAUAAUAAUAUAAAUAAUUCUACCUCAUUUGUGUUCUGAACUUUCAUGAAUCCAAGUGACUAAAGUGUAUGGACCAGCUUCUUCACUCCUCACAUUCAUUCUGUGGGAGAAAGAAGUAACCAGAGAAUCCUGAUGAGUGCGGUUGCUGGAAAUAAAGACACAGCAAUGGAGGUUAGUAGAACCUGUGCCUCCACCCCAGUAUCCUUAGCAAAAGAAUUGUUAAUGCAGUGUCAAGUGGAAUCAUGUGCCUUUCCAAUGUCUAGACUGCCCUGGAGCAAUGUGAGAGGGAAAGUUUGGACCUUCUGCAGUUGCCAAUAACUGCCUGAAAAAAAACCUACAAGAAUAGCAGUUUCAUAUGGAUUUAAAUGAAUUGUUUUUAGACUUAAUACAGAACUUGAUCCACUGAGAAUAGUUUGUCUGCUGCAAAACAGAGGAGUUUCCAGAUGGCUUAGCAGGUUAAGGAUCACUGAUAUAGCUCGGGUCACAGUAUGAGGAAGUUCCCAGGCCAGGGAUCAAACCCACAUCAUAGCAGCCACCUGAGCCAUAGCAGUGAUGAGAUCCACCAGGGAACUCCAUCGUUACACCUAUUUGCUCCUGAAUGCCUUUGUGUUUGUUUCCUGCAGCAGCUAUAACAAAUCAAUACAAACAGCUGGCUCAAAGGACAGAAAUUGCUUCUUUCAAAGCUCUGGAGGACAGAAGUCAAUCAGCAGGACCACAUUCCUUCUGGAGGCUCUGGGGGAAAAUCUUCCUUAGCUUUUUAGGCUUCUGAGGGCUGCAAUGUAGACAUAUCUUUGGAGCCCUAUUCAGUCUACUACAUACUUCAACCUAUUCACAUCCACUCCAAAACGCACGCACACACACACACACACACACACUCCUCUACUUAACCAACCAUCACUAUCAGUAGCACUGACAGGUGACUUCUUAUGUUUUAGGAUUCAAGAUCAGUUUUCGGUUUCCAUGAGAUUUUCUACAUUACCAGGCAUUCUUAGCAGCUCUGGACUUGUCUACUCUCCUUGCUGAACUUCUAUGAUUCCAUUUUCCUGAUGCCAUUCUUCCCACCAUUCCUUUUCAGGUUAACUGGCUGGUACCACUUCCUCCUCCAUGCACCUCUAAAUGGCAGUAUACACCAGAGAACCUCCUCUUUUCUUCUUACCUUUUGCUUUCUCUGGAUAAAGCUAUCCACUCGCAGAACAUUCAACUCAAGUCUUUGUGUUUGUUACUGAAUCAUGACCUUAGACCCUUCAAUCAAUAGAAAUUGAUAAAAAGUCAAGAAAAGGAUUUCAGACCAGGCUUUAUCAGGACUCAUUCUGCAGCCCAAGGGAGUGAAAAGAAGUAACCAGUUCCCUUGUUCACCCACCAGGAGGGAGGUGAGCUGCUUCCUUAAAUGGAGCGAGGGUGGCGACAGAUCAAUGGGUCAGGCAGGAGGGGUGGUUUCAGUAGCCUACCCACUCCCAUGGUGGAGCCUGGAUCAUGCACGGCUCCCUGCUUCUGCUCUCAGCACCUCAGAAAGGGCAGUUGGUUUGUGGCCUAUUUGCAUCUUAUUGUUCAUAACUGCCCCAACUGUGCAUGCAUGCAGUUACUUUUAGUCCCUUAUAGUUUCUUUGUAUUCUGUUGCUCCUGGAACAUUUGUCCAGGUAUAAAUGCAAGCACUCCAGUAAAGGGCCCCACAUCGCAGGUCCCAGGCUAUCUCAUGUGGAGUUUGCCCAGUCUGAAUGCCAUCCACCUUCUUGCAUGACUUUCCACACCAGCACUGUCCAGUGGAACUUCCUGCUAUCAUGGGCAUAUUCUAUAUCUAUGCUGACCUACACAGUAAGUCGCUGGCCAAAUGUGGCUGUUGAAUAUUUGAAAUGUGGUUGGCUCCUAAGGAAUUGCAUUUUAAAUUCUUGUCCUUUUAAUAAAUUUAAAUAGUCACAUGUACUUGCUACCUUAUUGAUCAGUGCAAAUCUAAAGUCCCUUCUCCCCUCUGUGACAAUCCUAGUGAACUUACUCAUUCACAUAAUAUGCCUUUCUACUGGGUGACAUUUCAAGCCUCAACUGUCACCUCCUCUGUGAAGCCUUUUCAACCAUUCCAGGUUAAACUAUCAGUUGCACUUUUGUCUUUCCAUAACUCAUUUUCCAUUAUUGUAUAUAAAAUUAUGGUCAUAUAAUAAACAUAUAACAUGCUAUAUAUGAUAUUAUAUUUUAUAUAAAUAUAUAAUUUUACAGUUUUAUAUGCUUGAACGCCAAGAAAAGAAAGACUGUAUCUUAAUUCAUUCUGUAGUCUUUCGAUCUGGUACCUGACCAUUGAAUCAAUGAAAAAAAUGGGUGACUCUGUUGCUUAGAGAUCACCCUUCAUGAUGAGAGGUAAAGCUUAACAAGGUGCAGGCUCUAAAAAACGAGCUUCUGCUUCCUUUCAUAAUGCCCUCAUGAGAACAGCCAAGUCCAAUAAUUCAAGAAGGUUUUGCAUCCAUUAAUUGGAUGAUAGGGAAUCUUGUAUUUGGGGUCUGUUUGGUUUUUUUUAAAUUAUUCUUAUUACAGCUGACACACAAUGUUCUGUCAAUUUCUGCUGUACAACAAAGUGACCCAGUUAUAAAUAUAUAUACAUUAUUUUUCUCAUAUUAUCCUUCAUCAUGUUCCAUCACAAGUGAUUAGAUAUAGUUCCCUGUGCUACACAGCAGGAUCUCAUUGCUUAUAAACUCCAAAUGCUAGUUUGCAUCUACUAACCCCAAAUUUCCAGUCCAUCCCACUCCCUCCCCUCCCCCUUGGCAACCACUAGUCUGUUCUCCCCUGUCCAUGAGUUUGUUUGGUUUGGUUUUGGUUUUUAAUGAGUUGCAGUUUUUAGCUUUAAACACUGGAAGUUAACAUGGUUAACUGGGUACAGGAGCCAUUUGGCUGUCACUCUUCAUGCUUAAAGUGCAAAUCAUUCUAAGAAUCACUCUUCUCUGAAAUCUGAACUAUGGUGAUUUGGAGAAUUCCAAAGAGUGAUGCAUAAUUUUUUUGAAAUUAAAGGGAAAAAAAAGGCUGAUAUUUUUGCUAAAAGAGGAAAGGUGAGAAAAAGCAAAAAAAAAAAAAAAAAAAAGAAAAA
rnacentral:lncRNA from 1 species